rnacentral:rRNA from 1 species
AACGAACGCUGGCGGCAGGCUUAACACAUGCAAGUCGAACGCUCACUUCGGUGAGAGUGGCAGACGGGUGAGUAACGCGUGGGAAUAUACCUAUCAGUACGGAACAACAGUUGGAAACGACUGCUAAUACCGUAUACGCCCUUCGGGGGAAAGAUUCAUCGCUGAUAGAUUAGCCCGCGUUAGAUUAGCUAGUUGGUGGGGUAAAGGCCUACCAAGGCGACGAUCUAUAGCUGGUCUGAGAGGAUGAUCAGCCACACUGGGACUGAGACACGGCCCAGACUCCUACGGGAGGCAGCAGUGGGGAAUAUUGGACAAUGGGCGCAAGCCUGAUCCAGCCAUGCCGCGUGCGUGAUGAAGGCCUUAGGGUUGUAAAGCACUUUCAACGGUGAAGAUAAUGACGGUAACCGUAGAAGAAGCCCCGGCUAACUUCGUGCCAACAGCCGCGGUAAUU